GCCCGCCUAGCUCAAUCGGAUAGAGCGUCAGACUCUUAAAGCUAUGGCAUUGGCCAUCUGAAGGCUGCGAGUUCGACCCUCGCGGUGGGCU